UGCAGUCGACGGUAACAGGCCUUCGGGCGCUGACGAGUGGCGGACGGGUGAGUAAUACGUAGGAUCUGCCCAGUAGCGGGGGACAACUUAGGGAAACUUAAGCUAAUACCGCAUACGCCCUACGGGGGAAGCAGGGGAUCUUCGGACCUUGCACUAUUGGAUGAGCCUACGUCGGAUUAGCUUGUUGGUGGGGUAAUGGCCUACCAAGGCGACGAUCCGUAGCUGGUCUGAGAGGACGAUCAGCCACACUGGGACUGAGACACGGCCCAGACUCCUACGGGAGGCAGCAGUGGGGAAUAUUGGACAAUGGGGGCAACCCUGAUCCAGCAAUGCCGCGUGUGUGAAGAAGGCCUGCGGGUUGUAAAGCACUUUCGGUAGGGACGAAAAGCGUAGGGCUAAUAUCCUUGCGUCUUGACUUAACCUAAAGAAGAAGCACCGGCUAACUCCGUGCCAGCAGCCGCGGUAAUACGGGGGGUGCAAGCGUUAAUCGGAAUUACUGGGCGUAAAGAGCACGUAGGCGGUUAUGUAAGUCGGAUGUGAAAGCCCAGGGCUUAACCUUGGAAUUGCAUUCGAAACUGCAUGGCUAGAGUUUGGUAGAGGCUAGCGGAAUUCCAGGUGUAGCGGUGAAAUGCGUAGAUAUCUGGAGGAUCAUCAGUGGCGAACGCGGCUGGCUGGACCAAAACUGACGCUGAGUGCGAAAGCGUGGGGAGCAAACAGGAUUAGAUA
rnacentral:rRNA from 1 species